AGCUGUUUUUGGACUACAAUUCCCAUCAUCCCUGACUACUGGUUUUGCUAGUUAGGGACGAUGGGAGUUGUAGUCCAAAAACAGCU